AAAAAAAAAAGACAAUGGUUUCCGUAUCCAACGUUUGACCGUCCGUCUUAUUUGAAAAAAAUAUAAAAAAAAUUAAAAAGAUAAGUCACGCAUAAAAUAUUAAUCAUGUUUUAUCAUCUAACAAGAAUGAAAAUACGAAUUAUAAAAAAAAUUCAUAUAAGACGGACAGUUAAAGUUGGACACGGAAACCAGGGAUUGUUUUUUUU
rfam:Oryza rufipogon genomic scaffold, chr01